ensembl:snoRNA Gm22193 small nucleolar RNA SNORD111
CAGCCUGAAGUGAUGAUUCACAUUCAUGUCUCUUCUCUGAUGAACUCUUGAAGGAGAUUCUGUGUGUCUGAUCAGGCCU